rnacentral:rRNA from 1 species
AUAGCGUAUAUUAAAGUUGUUGCAGUUAAAAAGCUCGUAGUUGAACCUUGGCUCUGGCUGGCCGGUCCGCCUCACCGCGAGUACUGGUCCGGCUGGAGCUUUCCUUCUGGGGAACCUCAUGGCCUUCACUGGCUGUGGGGGGAACCAGGACUUUUACUGUGAAAAAAUUAGAGUGUUCAAAGCAGGCCUUUGCUCGAAUACAUUAGCAUGGAAUAAUAAAAUAGGACGUUGGUUCUAUUUUGUUGGUUUCUAGAAUCGCCGUAAUGAUUAAUAGGGAUAGUUGGGGGCAUUGGUAUUCAGUCGCUAGAGGUGAAAUUCUUGGAUUGACUGAAGACCAACUAUUG